rnacentral:rRNA from 1 species
UAGGGAAUCUUCCACAAUGGACGCAAGUCUGAUGGAGCAACGCCGCGUGAGUGAAGAAGGCUUUCGGGUCGUAAAACUCUGUUAUUGAAGAAGAACGUGCGUGACAGUAACUGGUCAUGCAGUGACGGUAUUCAAUCAGAAAGUCACGCUAACUACGUGCCAGCAGCCGCGGUAAUACGUAGGUGGCAAGCGUUGUCCGGAUUUAUUGGGCGUAAAGCGAGUGCAGGCGGUCUUUUAAGUCUGAUGUGAAAGCCUUCGGCUUAACCGAAGAAGGGCAUCGGAAACUGGGAGACUUGAGUGCAGAAGAGGAGAGUGGAACUCCAUGUGUAGCGGUGAAAUGCGUAGAUAUAUGGAAGAACACGUGCGAAGGCGGCGUC